rnacentral:rRNA from 1 species
GAUGAACGCUGGCGGCGUGCCUAAUACAUGCAAGUCGAGCGAACGGACGAGAAGCUUGCUUCUCUGAUGUUAGCGGCGGACGGGUGAGUAACACGUGGAUAACCUACCUAUAAGACUGGGAUAACUUCGGGAAACCGUAGCUAAUACCGGAUAAUAUUUUGAACCGCAUGGUUCAAAAGUGAAAGACGGUCUUGCUGUCACUUAUAGAUGGAUCCGCGCUGCAUUAGCUAGUUGGUAAGGUAACGGCUUACCAAGGCAACGAUGCAUAGCCGACCUGAGAGGGUGAUCGGCCACACUGGAUCUGAGACACGGUCCAGACUCCUACGGGAGGCAGCAGUAGGGAAUCUUCCGCAAUGGGCGAAAGCCUGACGGAGCAACGCCGCGUGAGUGAUGAAGGUCUUCGGAUCGUAAAACUCUGUUAUUAGGGAAGAACAUAUGUGUAAGUAACUGUGCACAUCUUGACGGUACCUAAUCAGAAAGCCACGGCUAACUACGU